rnacentral:tRNA from 1 species
GGGGAUGUAGAUCAAUUGGUAGAUCGCUCGCUCCGCAUGCGAGAGGUACCGGGAUCGAAGCCCGGCAUCUCCA